UACGUAGGGACCAAGCGUUGUUCGGAUUUACUGGGCGUAAAGGGCGCGUAGGCGGCAAAUUAAGUCAUCUGUGAAAUCUCCGAGCUUAACUCGGAACGGUCAAGUGAUACUGCUGUGCUAGAGUGCGGAAGGGGCAACUGGAAUUCUCGGUGUAGCGGUGAAAUGCGUAGAUAUCGAGAGGAACACCUGCGGCGAAGGCGGGUUGCUGGGCCGACACUGACGCUGAGGCGCGAAAGCUAGGGAGCGAACGGG
rnacentral:rRNA from 1 species